CUACGAUAAAGGCAACCUCUGAGUGAUCAGGGGGCGCAAAGUAAAGGGUCUUUAUGUGCGGACAUGGAUGAACUGAGAUAUCUUAAAUAAUAUCUCUGAGUGUGCACAAAGUAUAUUUUUUAUAAAAGACAGCCUUACUGCCGAA
rnacentral:ncRNA from 1 species